AUGGCCUUAGCUCCCUCCAACAGCACUGAGAUUUCACAUGCUGCUUAUCAUCAAAAAAAAAGGUACACGUUGACAUGGGGCUUCUGCUACUGCCUACAUAGAACAGCCUUACCAAGACAGGAAGAGGUGCCCCUUCUCUUCUUGAGACUGCUAUACAGUUUAAUACCACUGCCAACCAAGAGUAGCCCAGCCACAGGAGAAGCAAGUGUCUCAAGAUCUUCAGAGAGUUAUUUUGGUCAGCAGUCUCUCGCCCAGACCAAACUCUUGAGUUGCUGGUCAGAUCUCCUGGUUUUUAAAGUUUAAAAGUUAAUUGCCUGAUGGAUAGCAUUGCCAUUACUAUGGUGCCAAUGAUGUAAUGGUUCUCUUCACUCCAGAUGCAAGAGUUUGAUAAGAAAAUCCUAAUAUCCAGCUUUAAGACAAUUUCAUCAAAACAAGUUAUUCAAAGCAAAUUCAAAUCACAAACAAUUUUGUCCAAAAUAAGCUUUCAAAGCAGAUUUGAAAUCAUAACAAGUCAGUACACAACAAUAUGAACAUGGAUUUUCAAUGGCUUAGAGAAAAAUUAGGAUGUGAGACAAAUGAAUUUGCAAAACUGACAACCAACCAAAAAUGUGAGCCACUUUAAAAUAACUCCAAUAGGAGGUAAUAUACACAUUUCAUUGUGCAACAUUUGUGGAUUUGUCUGAGAAUUUUAAUAUUUAUCAGUUUUAAGAACCCAGUCUAGAGAAUGGUUUUCCAAUUUUCAUUUUAAAGGUCUCUCUAUAAAUUCCACCAUCUCAGUAAGGGUCACUCA
rnacentral:lncRNA from 1 species